UGUCAACUGCACGGGUGAACAGUCCCAGGUAGCGAAAUUUACAAACGGCUGCUGACAUUAUAUUUGGGAAUGACAAAUGACAAGAAAACAUAGAGCUGUAUCACCUGUUUGGCUGGAUUUUUGCUUCUGACAGGUUGGAAGAACCCAUUGCACAAUGGACCAGGAUUUUUCGGACAUAGAUUCAGAGGGCCGGUGGCAAAACCUAUACGUUGAGAUUCGCAACCAGUCCCACGAAUGCUCUUACAAAGUGGCAAAGUAUCCUGAAAAUAGGAACAGGAACCGCUACAGAGAUGUCAGCCCAUUUGAUCACAGUCGAGUCAAACUGGAGAGCACAGAUAACGAUUACAUCAAUGCCAGUUUAGUGACGAAUGACGAAGCCCAAAGAAGUUACAUUUUAACUCAGGGUCCCCUGCGGAACACGUGUGGCCACUUCUGGCUGAUGAUCUGGGAGCAGAAGACCAAAGCCAUCGUGAUGCUGAACCGCGUCAUCGAGAAGGGAUCGGAGAAGUGUGCGCAGUACUGGCCAACCCAAGAUGAGCAUGACAUGACCUUCAGGGAUACACGUUUCAAGGUCACACUCCUGUCAGAAGACAUCAAGUCCUACUACACCACCAGGGUCCUGGAGUUGCAAAAUAUCACUACGGGCGAGACGCGGCAGCUGUACCACUUCCAUUACACCACCUGGCCGGACUUCGGCGUCCCAGAAUCCCCUGCUUCCUUCCUCAACUUCCUGUUCAAGGUGCGCGAGUCGGGCUCGCUGGGCCGCGACCACGGGCCGGCCGUGGUCCACUGCAGCGCCGGCAUCGGGCGCUCCGGAACCUUCUCUCUGGUCGACACCUGCCUGCUGCUGAUGGAGAAGCGUAGAGAGCCCUCGCUGGUGGACAUCAAGCGCAUCCUGCUGGACAUGAGACGCUACCGCAUGGGCCUCAUCCAGACGGCCGACCAGCUGCGCUUCUCAUACAUGGCCGUCAGGGAGGGAGCCAAGUCCAUCUUGGGAGACGGCUCAGCGCAGAAACGGUGGAAGGAGUUAUCGAGAGAAGACCACCAGCCCACGUCGGACUCCCCUCCUCCACCUCCUCCUCCUGCUCCUGCUCCUCCACUGACUCCCCAGUCCCCAUUGGGCCCUGGCACGGGCGUGGGCGUGGCCACGGGCCCCAAGACCACUCCUUCAGACAAACACAACGGCUGCCAGCCCCUCCUCCUCUCCUGCUCCUCCCCUUCCUCCCCCGCCGCGGACGAGCACAGCGACGGCGAGACGGGCAAACGCACGGGCACCGACUCUGACUCCUCGCCCUCCUCGCCCUCCUCGCCCGGCAAGGAGACGGAGGCAGACGGAGCCAUGGGCAACGGGCGUAAGCGGCAACGGGACGAGCGGCUGUCUAACUCCAACUCCACUCCGAAGAGCCCACAGAAGCAGAUCAAGCCUCGCCUGGGGGACUCAGAGAAGAAGAGGAAAAGUCUAGCCUGCAUAUGCUGUACAUGACGUUGGGAGGCGGGGGGAGGAGGGCUCCCGUGGCUGGCUGCCCGGUUAGGCCUGGUUCAGACUCAUCCUUCAGUUGCAGGACACGUACUGUCAGUAGGGGGUGGUGGCAGAUCACGUACCCAAACAGCCACCACGCCCCCCUCUUCAGAGCUGAAACGACCCCUUGCAGCGUUCAAUGUAUAUUUCUCCCAGGCUGAAUUUUCAGUAAUCUUCCGCUACCCCCCUGCUGACGGUACGUGUCCUGCAACUGAAGGAGGAGUCUGAACAGGAGUAGCUGUCCUGCAACUGAAGGAGGAGUCUAAACGGGUGUAGCUGUUCUCUGGGAAGAUUUGGUUUAGGAGGAGCCCCCCUGCCCUGCAGGUCCCGGGCCCGACUGCAGGCAAGAACCAGUGAUGCCUGACUUGGCUCCUCCCCCAGAAGCGUUAUCCUAUCCCCAAGGGAUGAACACCAGAGCUCCUCCUCCUCCUAUUCGUCCUCACAGCACCUCAGAGCCCGCCCACAUGCCUCCCGACAGCCUAUUAAAACUGUUUACAGCAGAGAUCAGUGGCAGAAGCAGAGGAACGUACAUUACGUGGGAAAUAUAUCUGAACACACACCACCAGCAACAUCAUGGUUCGACUGCUUUUUUUCUUCUCCGUUUUUUUUUUUCUUUUCUUUUCUUUUUUUUAACGUUACGUCUUUCAGUUUCAUUGUUUUUCUCCCUUAAAAAAAACACGCUCUUGUUACUUUCAGAGAGAGAGAGAGAGAGAGAGAGAGGGAGAGAAAUGGCAAAGAAAAAGCUGGACUAGGCCAAUGUAUGAGACGGGACAGCUCAGCUUGUAAUGCUUUUAUAUAUAAAUAUAUAUAAUAAAUAUUACAUGUGUAUUUGUAUUUUUAGACCUCCUUUUUCAAAGGCAAGAUUCAUAAAUGCUCUAUUUUUUAUAUGAAAUGACUUGAAAUUUCUUAUUAUUAUGUGUCAGGGGAGGGGUGGGCUGCAAACUCAAUCCUCAAUCCUCAAUCCGUUUUCUUUCUUGGGACAUUGAGUGCGUUCCAAUAUGCGGCCUUGCCUCCUCCACUUGCGCUUGUCUCCUCGCCACGCCUCCUGGCCCCUCCUCCGUGGAGAAAACGAUAAAGUUUCCCAGCUGUCAGCCUAGCCACAACUUUUGAGGGACUGUUUUUCAUUCACCAUCCCAAUUGCAAAUGAGAAAAAGACUCUACAAUUGAGCUUUUGCAAGAUAUUGAAAUAUAAUGAUGUUGUCAGUGAUGUCAUCAUGACAAGAAGCAAGUGGAGGAGGCAAGGUAGCGUAUUGCAACGCACUCUAUAUCCACUCUUGCGUCAGGACUCCGUUUUGCAAAAGCAUCGAUGCUAACCAGUUAGCAACUACUUACAAGGUUUCCAAUGGGAAAUUGCAUUGUAACCAAGUAAGUUGCUAACUUAGUUAGCAACGAUAUUGUUGAGAAACACACCCCCAGGAAUGCUUUUCUUGUUCUGUACAUAGUGUACGUUUGAAGAUGUGAUGUAAAGAAGAAAAAAAAAGAGACACACAAACUAUUUUGAAUUGUACAAUAUAAUGGGAUUGUUAUUUGGUAUGGAAACGGCUUAAUAAACACUGUGGUAAACGACCAGUAGCCUACACCCGAAAUGAAUGAAAAUAACAAUUAAUGAAUUUAAGUCUUACAUUUCAUUACUGGAGACUGUAUCUUGCAAAUAAAAACUGGCAUCCUUUAGUUUCUAA